rnacentral:lncRNA from 1 species
AUUGGUAACAUUUUGAGCAAGUUAAUUAUUGCUGUGUAAACGUUAAUUUUAAUCUUAAAAAAUGAAUGACUAGAUUUAAGUGAGCCAAUGUUUUGAAGCAUUUCUCUCCGAUUAAAAGCUCGCCAAAGUUGACUGAAAAUUUCUUACAAAACUGGAUUUGACAAUUGGGUUUUGGGUAAACUUCUGAUCGAAAUGUCCAACAAAUACUGUAAAAACUCAGUCCAAACUCAAAUUUAUUUGGUACUAACUAAAGCAAACACGCCCUCAAUUUAGUUCUCUUUCCGAACGCGCCCUCAGUGUUGUCAAAUAAACCCGACUCGAGCGUGUUCUGAUUCCGAUUCUGGCUCCAAUUUCAAGUUCAAACCAAGCACACUUCAAUGUAGUUUUCUUUUUAGACAGGGAUUAGCUAAUCUCACUCCUGGGAGGUGGUGGGGUUAGCUAAAUCUAGUCCCCAAAAAUUAUUUGGGGAUAAGAGGGGGAAUAAUCUCUUAUCCCCCCUAACUCCGAAUCAAACGCUGUGUAAAAAAAAAAAAAAAACGGUGAUUGAUUCAUUGUUUUUAUGAAAAAUUAGAAAGAUGGUGAAUUGAGAUAAAUGAUUCACCGUAUUUAAAGAAAAAAUUUCGACUCUUUGUAUAGCAAAAGAAGGAUUAGUUUGCCAAUUAUUUUUUUAAUAGCAUUAUUUAUCAAAUUAGAGAAUUUUAU